UACGUAGGUGGCAAGCGUUGUCCGGAUUUACUGGGUGUAAAGGGAGCGCAGGCGGGAAGAUAAGUCAGGCGUGAAAACUAUGGGCUCAACCCAUAACGUGCGUUUGAAACUAUUUUUCUUGAGUGAAGUAGAGGUAGGCGGAAUUCCGAGUGUAGCGGUGAAAUGCGUAGAUAUUCGGAGGAACACCAGUGGCGAAGGCGGCCUACUGGGCUUUUACUGACGCUGAGGCUCGAAAGUGUGGGGAGCAAAC
rnacentral:rRNA from 1 species